rnacentral:misc_RNA from 1 species
GGUGUGAACAUCAAAGAGCUCUUAGAUGAUGCAGUUGGGAAGUAGGAGGCAAGUUUGUCUUGGAUUUUAAUGAUUCCAUGGCUGACAGAAUUCAAGUGUUUCUAGGAUAAUUAUUAUUUUUUUUCCCCAAGCCAAUGGAUAAGGUAUCUUUAACUCUAGAUAAAUUAACUUUCAAUUUAAGAGUUCUUUUAUUACUUCUUAUUCUAUUCUUUUAUUCCUAUUUAUGUUGUUCUUUUUAGGAGUUUUUUGUUCCUCAAAUGCAAACUCUAGAAGACACAUCUUUG